UAGGGAAUCUUCCACAAUGGACGCAAGUCUGAUGGAGCAACGCCGCGUGAGUGAAGAAGGUCUUCGGAUCGUAAAGCCCUGUUGUUGGUGAAGAAGGAUAGAGGCAGUAACUGGUCUUUAUUUGACGGUAAUCAACCAGAAAGUCACGGCUAACUACGUGCCAGCAGCCGCGGUAGACGUAGGUGGCAAGCGUUGUCCGGAUUUAUUGGGCGUAAAGCGAGCGCAGGCGGAAUGAUAAGUCUGAUGUGAAAGCCCACGGCUCGACCGUGGAACUGCAUCGGAAACUGUCAUUCUUGAGUGCAGAAGAGGAGAGUGGAACUCCAUGUGUAGCGGUGGAAUGCGUAGAUAUAUGGAAGAACACCAGUGGCGAAGGCGGCUCUCUGGUCUGCAACUGACGCUGAGGCUCGAAAGCAUGGGUAGCGAACAGGAUUAGAUACCCUGGUAGUCCAUGCCGUAAACGAUGAGCGCUAGGUGUUGGGGACUUUCCGGUGCCUCAGUGCCGCAGCAAACGCAUUAAGCGCUCCGCCUGGGGAGUACGACCGCAAGGUUGAAACUCUAAGUGAAUU
rnacentral:rRNA from 1 species